CAUGAAGAUAGCUCUGAGUCUCUAGAAAAUCCUUUUUGUGAUAGACCUCUUUGAAAAGUAAAACUUUAGUCAAGGAACACCAGGGCUUUUAACGAACUGACUGAGGCAGAGGCUGAGCCAGGCCUAGAGGAGGCUCGUGGGCGGGAAGAGAGGAGAACGCCCUUGAGGUGGGAAAGGAAGCCAACGCUUACACGAGCCUGGCUUUGUUUGUGAACAGAAUGAGGGAGCAGUGAACUCCGUGUUGAACAGAUACAGUAGUUGAAGCUUAUGAUUUAAUGGGAGAGAUAAGACGUAACUGUAAAAAGAUGACUGUCACUUGUUAAUCCAACACGUAUUCAUGGGAUGCUAAGUCUGUGCCAAAGUGGGCAAGGCACUUGGGAUAAAGCAGUGAAGAGCCAGAAACUCUGCCUGACUUCACAGAGCUUCAAGUCUGGCAGGGGAGACGGACGUAAUCAAUGGUCCCACAAAUCGCUGGGACAAGGGCGAGGUGACUGAGGCACUUGCCUUGGGUGCAUACUUUAAAAGGGGGCACCAAAAAACUCUAUCAAUGCAAUGUUUAAAAAAAAUCAAAAUUAAUGCAAAAAUCUAUGAUGAAUAAAAUAUCAAACUUUUAUAUAAAGACAGGAUUGGUAUUACUGGUUUUUCAUUUUGUUCUUGGCUCCACAUGGCAUAUAAUUUUACCAGAAGAAUUAAAAGAUGUUAAGAAUGUAUCUAGCAGGGGGAGCUGAUAUAAACUUGUGUGGGCGGGAUAAUCCUUGGGAGAUUAUCCCUGAAGCAAUAACGUCUAAACUGGGACCGGAAGCAUGGGAAGAAGCUGGGAGAAGAGGAGGAGGGGUAAGCAACAGAAUGGGCAAAGCCCAGAGGCAGGGGAGAGCUUUGCACUUUUGAAGGAACUGCAAGAUGGCCCCUGUGUCUAGACCCACGCUUCUCAAACUUAGCGCCUAUUAGAAUUACCUGGAAAGCUUUUAGGUCUCAAUAGGCAGGCCUUGCCCCAGACCAAGUAAAUAAAAACCUCUAGGGAUGGGGCCAAGAUAGGUGGUUUUUAAACCUUCCGCAGCAGUUUUAAUGUGCAGGCUGGGUGGGCACCUGGUGGAAAAUGAACGAUGUGGUGGAUGAGGGAGAAGUUGCGGGAGACUUGACUGAAGGCUUGGAGGCCGCGGUAAUUAUUUUGGGCUUUCUCCAAAGAGCAUUGGGAAGUUAUUUGAAGGGCUUUAAGCAGGAAAAUGACGUGAUCUGACUCUUUUUUUUUUUUCAAGAUUGCUUUGGCUGCUGUGAUGAGAAUGGACUGCAAGAGAUGGAUGCAGCAGGAAGAGUUAGAAAGUGAUGGAAACAUCCAGCAGCUUUGGAAGAUGUUUAAACUUUAUCCUCCCUCUGCAUCAUUUUACAAACGAAGAAGCUGACGCUCAGGAAAGUUCAGUCACUUGUCCACUGUCACGCAGCUGAGAGCUGGCGGAGCUGCAAUGAGACGUCAGUCUGCUGAUUCCCAGUUCGUAGUCCCAACCAUGUGAUUUACUCGUAGGAAGUCACUAAGGAUAUUUUGGGAACAAUUUCAAUGCUUAUGAAAGAAGUGGGGAAAAAAAAUCCCCAAACAACAAACAGGAUACAAAUUGUAUCUCUAACAUGAGACUAACCCUGAUAAAACAAUGCACGGAACGAGGGGCAUUCACAAAAAUAUGAGCAGUGCUCUUUGGAGAGGGGAGACAGCAAGCUGAAUCCACCCUUUGAAAGCAAAUGGCAACUGCUCAGCCCCUGAAGAGAAGCUGCGGCCCAAACCUGCCUGGAAAUGAAGCCACCAAGACAGAGUGCCUGCGGCUCCCACCCGCUGACAUCCAUCCUGGGCUAUCACUUCUCCUGUCUGUGCCCUGAAUGUGGAGCCCCUGAGCAGGGAUGAAUGUUUCACGUCCCUGCCCUGGAGAUGGGUUUUUGUCUUCCUUUGUUCUUACAUUGUGAGGAGGAGGAGAUCGAUUGCCGUGUCUCAGAUGUCAUGGUUCCAGGAUUCUGGGGCAAGGUGCUUGCGGAAAACCCAGGGUCGGCUGACAUGAUGGCAAAGGGCCCCCUAGCUCUCACAUCUUAGGAAUGAGAAUGAUCUGUCCCCCUCGCAGUGUCUCCCUUGGGUGGGACCUGUGCAGGGGGUCUGAACCUCGAAAGGUAUGUAAACUGUGAGGGGCCUGAGUGAACUCACAAAAGGUGCCUGGACUGUGGAGGAAGCCCGGAGGUGAGGGCGCAGGGCUGCCAAACUCAGAGCACGUUAAUAGUGUGGGGCAUCCUGUAUUACCUGAACUAGGAAAGUGACUUUUUUGGAGAAAUCUUGAAAGAAAAUUAUUUUUUUAAAACAGGAAAGGGCCUUUUGUACUGAGAAUUAAUUAUUCUUCUUUUGGAGCUUUGUGUUUUUCUUGAAAAAAAAGAAAAAAAAAGACAAGUUGCCGUCAUUCCCUACUCCCCCUCACCCCGCCAGGACAACGAUGCUGUUACAAAGAUUAAGGAGAAAAGUGUGAGUAAUUUUGUCCACUUUAUCUUAUGACAUGUUUAAUGAGGAUUUUAAAAAAUGAUUUAGGGAAAAUGCUUUUGAUCCUGUGACUGCAAAGAAGGCAGCACAACACAUUCCUCAAUCCAGGCAGGAGAAAUGAUUUCAGGUCUGAAAGAAACAAUGCACGAGAGAGCGCGUUAACCCUGAGUGAGACCUUGCAAACGCCACCUGAGCAGAGAUGUCCCCCUCUGGAGAGCCUCCUCACCAGGCAGUCCUCCUGGGGUUCAGAUCCCCAAAAACCCUGGAAUCUAAUCUCGUGUGGUCCCCACUGGUGGCACUUUAAAAAAAAACAAAUUUCUUUUCACAAGGAAGCCACUGUGAGCAUCAGGUUGUGGAAUUUAUGAAGAGAGUAUUUUGUUUCUUUUUUUUUUGCCUCCUCGGAAAAGUCAUUCUGAAUCGUUAGAUAUUGGCUCUGGGAGAUACCAUGACUCUUUGCAAACAUCACAGGGGCCCCAGGAUGGUGAGUUCAGGGGGUUACUGUGCUGCGGGCCUGGCUGAAUUGACUCAGAGCAGGCUCAAGGGAGGAAAGAAAGGGGUGAGGGUUUGCAAGCAUAGGUUUGUGUGCAUGGACGUGCUCACGCUAGUGGGCACGUGUGGGCUUAACAGUACCGCCCCAUUAAUGUGGUGCCCCAUGUCACGAGACUGACUGCUUGCCUCAAUGGGUAGUUGCCCCUUCUGCUAGGGAGAGAGAUCGAGGAGUGUGUGAGUGUGUGUGUGUGUGUGUGAAGGCCAAGGGGUAUUGUGUUGCAUGUGUGUGUGUGAGGGUAAGGAGUAUGUGUGUGUGAGAUGAAGUGAGUGUCUGAGUGUGUAAGGAGAGGCAUGUGUGAGUAUGUGAGGGGGAAGGAGUGUGUGUGUGUGCUGAGUAAGGAGAAGUGUUUGUAUGCGCGUAUGUGAAGGCCAAGGAAUGUUGUCUUGUGUGUGAAGAGUAAGGAGUGAGUGCAUGUGUGUCAGUUCGUGUGAGGGGUGAGGAGGGUUGUGUGUGUGUGUGAGUGUGUAAGAGGGAAGGAGUAUGUGUAUGUGUGUGUGAGGAGUAAGGAGAAGUGUUUGUGUGUGCAAGUGGAGGCCAAGGAAUGUUGUUUUGUGUGUGAAGAGCGAGGAGUUAGUGUGUGUGAGUGUGAGGGGUAAGGAGAGGUGAGGUGUAUGUGUGUG